AGAAUUUGAAGAUCUUCAUCAGAAAUGCAAAACAGACCUCGAGCAAAAAGUUUCAAAAAUGGAGGAACUCCACAAGAAAACCAGAGAAUUAGGUGAGUUUGCUGUUAAACUCAGAAACAUAUCACGAUGUUGGGAAGAUGCUGGAGUCAAUUAUAUGAAAUAGCGAUACAUUUGGAUAGUAAUAGCAGGAUCGGUCCGAGUCAGCAUGGAUUUACGAAGGGGAAAUCUUGCUUGGCUAAUCUUCUUGAAUUUUUUGAAGAUGUAACUAGGAAAUUGGACAAGGGAGAGCCAGUGGAUGAAGUGUGCCUGGACUUUCAGAAAGCAUUUGAUAAGGUCCCACAUAGGAGAUUAGUGGGUAAAAUUAGGGCACAUGGUAUUGGGGGUAGAGUGCUGACAUGGAUAGAGAAGUGGUUGGCAGACAGGCAACAAAGAGUAGGGAUUAACGGGUCCCUUUCAGAAUGGCAGGCAGUGACUAGUGGGGUGCCGCAAGGCUCGGUGCAGGGACCGCAGCUAUUAACAAUAUACAUCAAUGAUUUGCAUGAAGGGAUUCAAUGUAACAUUAGCAAAUUUGCAGAUGACACAAAGCUGGGUGGCAGUGUGAACUGUGAGGAGGAUACUAUGAGAAUGCAAGGUGACUUGGACAGGUUGGGAGAGUGGGCAAAUGCAUGGCAUAUGAAGUUUAAUGCGGUGAAAUGUGAGGUUAUCCACUUUGGUGAGAAAAACAGGCAGGCAGAUUACUAUCUAAAGGACAUAAAUUGGUAAAAGGGGAAGUACAACUCGGGGUCCUUGUACAUCUGUCUAUGAAAGUAAGCAUGCGGGUGCAGCAGGCAGUGAAGAAAGCGAAUGGGAUGUUGGCCUAUGUAACAAGAGGAAUCGAAUAUAGGAGCAAAGAGAUCCUUCUGCAGUUUUACAGAGCCCUAGUGAGACCAUACCUGGAGUAUUGUGUGCAGUUUUGGCCCCCUAAUUUGAGGAAGGACAUUCUUGCUAUUGAGGGAGUGCAGCGUAGGUUUACAAGGUUAAUUCCCGGGAUGGUGGGACUGUCAUAUGCUGAGAGAAUGGAGCAGCUGUGCUUGUACACUCUGGAGUUUAGAAGGGUGAGAUGGGGAUCUCAUUGAAACGUAUAAGAUUGUUAAGGGCUUUGGCAGGAACCAAGUUCCCGAUGUUGGGGGAAUCCAGAAUCAGGGGCCACCGUUCAGGAGUAAGCCAUUUAGAACGGAGACGAGGAAACACUUUUUCUCACAGAGUGUGGUGAGUCUGUGGAAUUCUCCGCCUCAGGUGAAGAGAGAGCUAGAUAGGGCUCUUAAAUAUAGCGGAGUCAGGGGAUAUGGGGAGAAGGCAGGAACGGGGUACUGAUUGGGGAUGAUCAGCCAUGAUCAAAUUCAAUGGCGGUGCUGGCUCGAAGGGCCAAAUGUCCUAGCCCUGCACCUAUUGUCUAUUGUCUAUUGUCUAUUGACUAUUGUCUAUAGUCUAUUUGUUUCAGUUAACCAUCGGGUAAAAUACAUCGAUAAAACACAGCUUUCUUCACCAUACCCAUGAUAUAUUCGGAAACAAUUGUGGAAAUGUUAAGAGACAUGUUUCAAUGAUGAAACGAUUGUUUGUUUUCUUUCGUGUGGGGAGCACACCGUGAUUACGAUAGCACUGAGGAAAGACAGAUUUGCUAAGUGUUUGUCGAGGGAAUAACGGAGAAUACCUAAGUAAGUAUUCUGUACGCUCUAUUACUGCAGAAAUUAUGUGUUUGGCUCAUGAUUUGAGCAUCCAGCCAUUGCACAUUUGCGUCGUGCUACUAUUUGUGUUAUACGCUAAACUGCUCUUGUUUAUCUACCAAACAAAUAAACAUUUUAUACGCAUAUACUUUUAUAUAUGUUAUAUAUUUUCUCCCGUAUCGCAGAUAAAGCAAAGAAGGGUACGUUUCCAAUUUGGCACGCGUGCAAAAUAGAAACACUGGACAUAACAUUUAUAUAUACAUACACGUGUCAGAAGACUAGAAUGUCACCGAAAACAUUCAUUUAUACACAGGAACAACCUGGUCGAAAUAUCCCCAACUUUUCUUUUCGUAUGUGCAUGGAAAUAUACUAUGACCAGAACUGUACAUCAUUAUGAAAAAAUACAUUCUUAAUUGUUCUUGUUGAAACGAAUUUGCGGCAGUCUUCCCAAUAAUGGACUGGAAAAGUUUAAACUGACUAACUUCAUGCUGUUCUUCAGCUUUCCUGAUUCUUCAUUCAAUAGACGUAGGCAUGACAGAUGUCAACGUAACCAUGCCCAUCAUAAGUAGGGUGAACCUAGAAAAUAAGGACGAACCGUAGGGCACAGCAGAUUAAAACAUAUAUGUAAUAUAUGCAGCAGGUUUAAACAUGUUGAUUAUUAAUACUAUCUGCACACUUUAGUUUCAGCCGGUUCUUCCUCUUCAAUAAUCCUUCAUAUUCUGUGUUUUUCUAUAGCUAGAUAAUAAUGUUCAGUUAUAUAACCAUAUAACAAUAUAACAAUUACAGCACGGAAACAGGCC